CUUGGAGCCAGCCAACUAUGGACUGAAGCCUCCACAAAUUGAGUAUUCAGACUGCUCUCCUGGGUCCUGUCUGCUGCUGAACUGGUAAGAGGUUGACUGCAGCCUCUGCAUGUGUGGAACACAGGAACUGACAUGGAUGCGAGGAUUGGAUUUGCUGCACCUGGAACUGCUGUGAGACUUGGGCCAUUUUAUCAUCCCAUCUCUACAAGGAGGAAGCUUCCAUUAUCAUGAAGGAAAUGGACGCUGAAAAAAAUAGGAACACACAAAGCCCUCAGAGGGAAGGAUUGGCAAGAUGAGACCAGAGUCAGGCGAUCCAGUUCUCCCAGAAGCCAAAGAAGACAGAAAUGAUAGUCCGUGUUUCAUGAGGUUGAUAGUAGAAAGAAAACUACCCAUCCAUGAGAUCUUCAAAG